UUUAAUUUGGCAGAUUUUAUGCGUUUGAUUUAGAAUCAUAUUAUAACAUUUUUUUGUUAGUUUCAA
rnacentral:tRNA from 1 species